ensembl:snRNA U1 U1 spliceosomal RNA
AUAGUUACCUGGAAUGGAAGAUAUCAUGAACACAAAAGUGGUUUUCCCAGGGUAAGUUGAUGCAUUGCAUUCCAGAUGUGCUGAGCCCCAAGCUAUGAUUUCCCCUAAAUGCUAGAAAAUAGACUGCAUAAUUUGUGGUAGUGGGAGGCUGUGUUCCCACUUUGUCCUA